AUUGAACGCUGGCGGCAGGCCUAACACAUGCAAGUCGAGCGGAUGAAGGGAGCUUGCUCCUGGAUUCAGCGGCGGACGGGUGAGUAAUGCCUAGGAAUCUGCCUGGUAGUGGGGGAUAACGUCCGGAAACGGGCGCUAAUACCGCAUACGUCCUGAGGGAGAAAGUGGGGGAUCUUCGGACCUCACGCUCUCAGAUGAGCCUAGGUCGGAUUAGCUAGUUGGUGGGGUAAAGGCCUACCAAGGCGACGAUCCGUAACUGGUCUGAGAGGAUGAUCAGUCACACUGGAACUGGGACACGGUCCAGACCCCUACGGGAGGCAGCAGUGGGGAAUAUUGGACAAUGGGCGAAAGCCUGAUCCAGCCAUGCCGCGUGUGUGACGAAGGUCUUCGGAUUGUAAAGCACUUUAAGUUGGGAGGAAGGGCAGUAAGUUAAUACCUUGCUGUUUUGACGUUACCAACAGAAUAAGCACCGGCUAACUUCGUG
rnacentral:rRNA from 1 species